rnacentral:rRNA from 1 species
UGGGGAAUAUUGCGCAAUGGGGGGAACCCUGACGCAGCAACGCCGCGUGAAGGAAGAAGCAUUUCGGUGUGUAAACUUCUAUCAGCAGGGAAGAAAUAAAUGACGGUACCUGAAUAAGAAGCCCCGGCUAAUUACGUGCCAGCAGCCGCGGUAAUACGUAAGGGGCAAGCGUUAUCCGGAUUUACUGGGUGUAAAGGGUGAGUAGGCGGUCAGGCAAGUCAUAUGUGAAAGGUUCGGGCUUAACCCGGAAAGUGCAUAAGAAACUGUCAGACUUGAGUGCAGGAGAGGUAAGCGGAAUUUCCAGUGUAGCGGUGAAAUGCGCAGAUAUUGGGAAGAACACCGGUGGCGAAGGCGGCUUACUGGACUGUAACUGACGCUGAGUCACGAAAGCGUGGGGAGCGAACAGG